GAGGGUGUAGCUCAGUCGGUAGAGCAUCUGCCUUUUAAGCAGGAGGUCGGAGGUUCGAUCCCUCCCACCCUCA
rfam:Candidate division Zixibacteria bacterium DG_27 WOR1_52_54_10566, whole genome shotgun sequence.